AAUCCACACGACUCUCGGCAACGGAUAUCUCGGCUCUCGCAUCGAUGAAGAACGUAGCGAAAUGCGAUACCUGGUGUGAAUUGCAGAAUCCCGCGAACCAUCGAGUCUUUGAACGCAAGUUGCGCCCGAGGCCUUUCGGCUAAGGGCACGCCUGCCUGGGCGUCACGCA
rnacentral:rRNA from 1 species